CUGCUGCCUCCCGUAGGAGUCUGGGCCGUGUCUCAGUCCCAAUGUGGCCGGCCAACCUCUCAGUCCGGCUACUGAUCGUCGACUUGGUGGGCCGUUACCCCGCCAACUAUCUAAUCAGACGCGAGGCCAUCUCAGAGCGAUAAAUCUUUGGCAGCAAAGCCAUGCGACUUCACUGCAGCAUGCGGUAUUAGCAGCUAUUUCUAGCUGUUAUUCCCCACUCCAAGGCAGGUU
rnacentral:rRNA from 1 species